UACAGAGGUCUCAAGCGUUGUUCGGAUUCAUUGGGCGUAAAGGGUGUGUAGGUGGCGCCGUAAGUCGGGUGUGAAAUUUCGGAGCUUAACUCCGAAACUGCAUUCGAUACUGCGGUGCUUGAGGACUGGAGAGGAGACUGGAAUUUACGGUGUAGCAGUGAAAUGCGUAGAUAUCGUAAGGAAGACCAGUGGCGAAGGCGGGUCUCUGGACAGCUCCUGACACUGAGACACGAAGGCCAGGGGAGCAAACGGG
rnacentral:rRNA from 1 species